CUUGUCAAUCUUGUAUGCUCGAAAUCUCCAUUUCGCCACGCACGACCGAAGCAGAACGCCAGCGCGGUCGCAGCAGAGCGCGAAGCGAGGAGGGAUGGACGAAGAAACCGGUGGGCGAUCGAAGAAGCGACUCCUCCUCGUCCUCGCCGCGAUCUCUCUUCAGUCGCUCUUAGGUCUGGCUGAUGAUCCAUCAAGUUCAAAUGUAGUAAAAGAUGAGGCUAGGCCCUCUAGUUCCAGUAAAAUGGACCGGGAAGUAUUUUUCAUAUGCUUGGUCGUUGCAGGAGUUGUGCUUUGUUCUGUCUUACUUUUCAAGCUCUGGCAGAAAAAGAAGAGGGAGGAGCAACAUGCUCGUCUGUUGCGACUAUUUGAAGAGGAUGAUGAGCUAGAGCUCGAACUUGGUCUUCGGGAUUAAAAAGCAUGUGAUGCAACUGUGUGCGCUAUUCUGGCAGAGGUAAUAUUGUUGUGGUAAAUUAUGAUGAUCACGGUGGGGGGUUAUGGCUGAACUUGGAGUGAGUUUCUUUUUUCAUCAGCAGUUGCAUACUCGUGCACCAGCAUUGAGUUAGUUUUUGAGAUGUAGUUUGUUGCCAUUAUUAGCCAGAGCAUUUGCACAUGUUAAUAAAAUCUAGUGAUGCUUUGUGACUAGCAUUGUAUGUCAUCCCUUAUUCAAUGUAUGGAGUUUGAUACGGAAGGCAACUAACGAUAUCAGAAAAUUUGUUC